GAGGAAAGUCCGGGCUCCACAGGGCAGGGUGCCAGGUAACGCCUGGGGGGGAAACCCACGACCAGUGCAACAGAGAGCAAACCGCCGAUGGCCCGCGCAAGCGGGAUCAGGUAAGGGUGAAAGGGUGCGGUAAGAGCGCACCGCGCGGCUGGUAACAGUCCGUGGCACGGUAAACUCCACCCGGAGCAAGGCCAAAUAGGGGUUCACAUGGUACGGCCCGUACUGAACCCGGGUAGGCUGCUUGAGCCAGUGAGCGAUUGCUGGCCUAGAUGAAUGACUGUCCACGACAGAACCCGGCUUA
rnacentral:RNase_P_RNA from 3 species